CGCAUGCGCUGUGGCUCACCCACGCCGUAGGUCUUGCUAUGGGUUUAUUAAGAAAACGCAAACGCGCGUGAGGCGUGGGGCGUGGGGCGUGGAGGACAACUAACUAGGCUGACCUGUAAAAGCAGAGGAAAUUGGAACCUGGAAAGUUCUGAAGGUUCCAGUGAUUCUCCUGCCUCAGCCUCCUGAGUAGCUGGGAUCACCGGCACCUGCCACCACGCCCAGUGCUUCGGAACAAGAACAAAACCCUAAUUAUUCAUAUAUGCAGAAAGGCUAAGAAAGUGUGUUAGACUGGCAACACUGGAUAAGAAAUCAAAAAAGGACUGCUUAGUGUGCCUCUUUAGUCAACAUGAAAAAGAAGAAAAGAACAAGCAACUGAAGGAUCCUCUGAUGGCCUCAAGGCAGUGGAUUGAGAAUAUCUCUUAAGUACAAGGAGGUAUUCUAGAUCAGUGCUUGAGAUAUUUUGCAGACCCUGCAACUGAUGGAUCAGCUGGCACCACCAAGAUCGAUGAACUGGCUCAUCUGAUCCUGUGGCCCCCACUUAGGAACUAAGCACAAGAAGCAUCUCUGACUUGACCAAUCAGCAUGCCUGUCUCAUUGGCUUCCCCCCACCCACCAAGUUGUCCUUAAAAACCCUGAUCCCCCGAACCCAUAGGGAGACUGAUUUGAGUAAUAAUAAGACUUCAGUUUCCUGCA